AGGGUUGAAUAGAUACAGAGUUUCCAUUUUCGAAGAUGAAAAUUUUCUGGGUAUGGAUGGUGGAGACGCUCAAGAAUGCUACUGUACUGAACGCCACUGAGCUAUACACUUAAAAUGGAUAAAACGGCACUGUUUGUCGGGCAGAGCCCUAUUGUGGACAGAAAGAAUGGAACCUGGCAUUGAGGAUAUAAUUUCAGUUGCAUGAAGCAGCAGUGACUUGAGCAGAAGGGAGCCCGUGCCUCCCACUUACAGUCUGGAGAGUUUGACGCCAUCCUCAAGGUCACAAAAUGGCCACCGGAGUGCCAGCCAUCGCAUAUAUAUUCCAGGCAGGAAGAAGGAGGAAGAAAACAAAAAGGGCACACACUGGGUUUUUGGGAGCUUUCCUGGAAGACCUGCCCAGUAAUUUCUGCUUCUAUCUCAUCAGCCACUUUACUUGCUUGGAAAUGGGUAAUGAAGUCUUUUGACUGCUCACCUGGUCAUUUUGAGCAGGCUUUUGCUCAACAUCCAGUCCUAGUUUUCUUUUACCUUAUUUGGGAUACUGAGGCAUAAGGACCUCUCUGAUGUUUGCAAUUGGUAAAAGCAAGUCAGGCUUGAUUUCUGAAACAAAAUGCUUUAAAAACAGGGCUUUGCUAGUGUCUGGAUCGCCUCCUUCAUCAUAGAGAUGCAGUGUACCCUUGGGAAGGGGGCACAGGCCUUUCCUU